rnacentral:rRNA from 2 species
AAAUUGAAGAGUUUGAUCAUGGCUCAGAUUGAACGCUGGCGGCAGGCCUAACACAUGCAAGUCGAACGGUAACAGGAAGCAGCUUGCUGCUUCGCUGACGAGUGGCGGACGGGUGAGUAAUGUCUGGGAAACUGCCUGAUGGAGGGGGAUAACUACUGGAAACGGUAGCUAAUACCGCAUAAUGUCGCAAGACCAAAGAGGGGGACCUUCGGGCCUCUUGCCAUCGGAUGUGCCCAGAUGGGAUUAGCUUGUUGGUGGGGUAACGGCUCACCAAGGCGACGAUCCCUAGCUGGUCUGAGAGGAUGACCAGCCACACUGGAACUGAGACACGGUCCAGACUCCUACGGGAGGCAGCAGUGGGGAAUAUUGCACAAUGGGCG